GCAAGCAGAUCUCUGUGAGUUUGAGGCCAGCCUGAUCAACAGAGAGAGUUCCAGGACAGCCAGGACCACACAGAGAAACUCUGUCUCAAAA
rnacentral:miRNA from 1 species